rnacentral:rRNA from 1 species
GUUGAUCCUGCGGGAGGACGCUGCUAGUAGGUUGCGAUUUAGGCAUGCAAGUCCAGGGGCUCUUUGAGCACCGGCAGAAUGCUUAGUAACACGUUGAUAAUCUGACCUUAGGUAAGGGAUAACCUCGGGAAACUGAGGCUAAUACCUUAUAGGGAAUGGAUACUGGAAUGUUCUAUUUCCAAAAGAUUACGCCUAAGGAUGAGUCAGCGGCUGAUUAGCUUGUUGGCGGGGUAAUGGCCCACCAAGGCUACGAUCAGUACGGGCCUUGAGAGAGGUAACCCGAAGAGGGGAACUGAGAUAAGAUCCCCAGCCCUACGGGGUGCAGCAGCCGCGAAACCUUUACAAUGCACGAAAGUGUGAUAAGGGUAACCUACGUGCUUACACACUGUGUAAGCUUCUGUCAAGAUUAAAUCCCUUGACGAAUAAGGAGUGGGCAAGACUGGUGCCAGCCGCCGCGGUAACACCAGCGCUUCGAGUGGGGUCCGCGUUUAUUGGGCCUAAAGCGUCCGUAGCCUGAUAUGUAAGUCUUUUGUGAAAGUGUCGUGCUUAACUCGACAAAUGGCAAGAGAUACUGCAUGUCUUGGAAUUGGGAUGGGUUAGAGGUACCCCUUGGGGACCGGUAAAAUGGGAUAAUCCUUGGAGGACCACCUGUGGCGAAGGCGUCUAACUAGAACAAUUUCGACGGUGAGGGACGAAAGCCAGGGGAGCGAUCCGGAUUAGAUACCCGAGUAGUCCUGGCUGUAAACGCUGCGAGCUAAGCGUUGCACAAUCUACAUGGUUGUGCAGUGUUGAAGUGAAGACGAUAAGCUCGCCGCCUGGGAAGUACGGUCGCAAGACUGAAACUUAAAGGAAUUGGCGGGGGCUCGCUACCAGGGGUGCGGCGUGCGGUCUAAUCUAACUACACACAGAGAAUCUCACCAGGAGCGACGGCAGGAUGAAGGUCAGAUUGAAGGUUUUACCUGACGAGCCGAGAGGUGUUGCAUGGCCGCCGUCAGCUCGUGCCGUAAGGUGUCCUGUUAAGUCAGGUAACGAGCAAGAUCUGCAUCUUCAAUUGCUAACAGGUCCUUCGGGAUGUCUGAGCACAUUGGAGAGACUGCCCGGGAAUCUGGGAGGAAGGCGCAGGCUACGGUAGGUCUGUAUGGCCCGAAUCUCCUGGGCUACACGCGCGCAACAAUGGUUGGAACAAUGGGCUGCUACUCCGAAAGGAGGAGCUAAUCCUCGAAAUCCAAUCUUAGUCUAGAUUGAGGGUUGCAACCCACCCUCAUGACACUGGAAUCCCUAGUAAUCGGAUUUUAUAAGAAUCCGGUGAAUACGUCCCCGAGCCUUGCACACACCGCCCGUCAAACCACUCGAGCAUAGUCUAGGUGAGGUUUGGUUUUUUUGAUGGAAUCGAACCUAGUCUAAGUGAGAUGGGUUAAGUCGUCACAAGGUA